AGAGGUGGACUGUGAGCACAGAAACACAUGUUCAUACAUACAGCUGUAGCAAGCUUACAUUAAUUUUAAAUAGAUUUGUUACUCUGAUGUCUGUCUCUCUGUUAGUCCUCUGACAGACUGGUACCUGUCCAGGUGUGCUCUACCUGUGACUACUGGGACAGGCUCUGGCUCCUGUAAUAGAAAUUUUCUAUUAUUCUCAUUUAAAGUAUUUAAGUGCUUAUGCAUAUGCUUAGUUGUGACACUGUUAUAGACUGUUCAGUGAAAGUUUCUAAAACUAGAUGAACUUACUUCAGCAUCAGCAGUUUGAGAAAACAACUCCCUUUACAGGUGCUGAUAAGGCCAAGGGCACAAAACAGCAUAACCAUUGAUCCGUUAGGUUUCAUAGCGAGGCGCGUGAAGUGUGGUAUGAUCAGUUUGUAACUUCCUCCCUCUUCCUUGGAAUGCAUAAAGGAGUAGGAGCACGACUUCUGUGGCAGAGCUGACAUGACUGUGAUGUUUGAUGUGUGUUGGCUCUCCUGCGCGCAGUAAUAAAUAGCUUGAUCACAGCUCUUUCUGUGUUGCAGACUUUAUUUACAAACUUCCACGAUACCCCCCACCCUCCCACUGUGAACAUGAAUUGAAUAUUCAGAAGAAAAUGAAUGGAUAGACUGACAUUUGUUUAAAUACUUCUAGAAAUCUGAGCUGUUGGUGUGGUAAUAAUAUUAGAGCUAGCAAUCUUUCUCACUGAAUCUCUACUGUGAGUCAUGUUACCUGGGAUUAAUUCUAUGUUUACCUGACAGCCUGGACAAAUGCGCUCUGUGAAGGAUGUAAAUCAAAUCAGAUUUUAACUGCUUACAUUUAAGGAGCCUGUUCAUAUUUAAUUAACAGUUCGCCACAGUCGCUGUCCACAUGGGUCAGUGGGACCAAGCAGCACUCUGCCAAUGUGUGGACUCUGACCAGCAACAUCCAGCAAGACCCAGGCAGCGUUUUCUAUCUCCCAGCUGGAGUUUUUUGUUUGUCUGUGACUGGAGAGUCAGAUUUUUGUUGAAGCUGGAGGAACAGCCUCACACUCGCAGAGGUUAAUACAUGCUACUGAUCCCUGAUGGGAGAAUCAUCACCUCUGCCAACAAAGAAGCCUGGUGGAUGUUUGUUUGCAGUCUAAUGAUGGGACCUCAUGCUCUGCAUCUUCAAAGUUUGUCUCUUGAUUAUUAUUCAUACACAGUAAUGUGAAUUAUGCUUAUAUCUAGUAUAACUGGACCAACCUGGUGCUCUUCAUUUAUAGAGGCUGUUGAGUCUGAAUGUUGGAUGUUGUGUAUCUCUUGUUCUCUGGGCUUUGUUGUCCUCAGUCUUUUUGCAGGAUCAGAAAACAAAACCAGGAUGACCGUAAAUGUUUCUUCUCCAAUUGGAUGAUGAUAAGACCGUGACACGGGAUGCCCCCUUUAGUCUUGUGAUGAAGCAAAGCUCAGGACGAAGUGUGAUUAAAUGGUACCCACAUGUGUGCUGCUGAGAAGGAUGUACAAGGGCACCUGCAGCCAAAUCCAAGCCUCCUCAGCAACUUCAAGUCUGUCAGCGUGCUGAGGUCACAGAAACAAGAAAAGAAGCUUCAGACUUCAGAGUGUUGUUUACAGUUUUCUGUCAUCAUGAUCUCCCCUGAAGUUUAUCACUGUGAGCCAAGCAAGCAGAGCGGCAGUUUGUGCUCACAGAUGGAGACGGUGUGGAGAGACGGUGGUGUUUCCUCAGAAGAACUAGCAGAGUCACAAAGAGCACCAGUCCAUCUCACCACCUUGACUUGCUGACUUAUGCUCGUCUGCACUGCACAGAGGAAAUCAACUGACCGAGGAGUGUUUCUGGGUGAGGGAGAGAGGAGUCAUCAUCCAGGUAAAGUGACGUGGAUCAGUGGACACACUUGUCUCCCCUUUAAAGGAGAUACUCUUAGAGAGAGACGAUCCGAGUCAUCCCUAAAUAUGGGCAGGAUGUCAGUCUUGGACUGUGUAACCUGCCGGAGCAGCACUGAAUGACCACCACACAUGAGCAUGUUCCUGCAACAUUCAGCAGCUUUGCUUUUGUGUCAAAUGUCAACCAGCUGGAGAGGAAACUACACCAGUGUACUGGGAUGUUUCACCAACACGUGCCAGAUGCUGUUCCUUCAUGGUGACAUCACCAGAGACAGCCCCGCCCACCUCAGGACCUCGCCAUUGAUCAUGAUGAUUAUAAUAAUGACAGCGAGCGGAACUAAGACUGUACAAAUCCAUGACCAGAAUGUUUAGAUGCUUUCUAAUUAUUAAUGAAUACUGAGAGCCUCUUUCUGUGUUUUGUCUGUUUUGGGUUGUUUUUUUUACCUCAUUUGUUACUAACAAAGUUCAUCAAACUCACACAGUUUACAUUCUGUAUGUUUCCAUCUUUACCAGCCACAGUCUACCUGCAUUUAGAAAACAAACCUUAGAAAUCGUCGUUUUUCUCUUUUGUAAUUUUGUAAUUCAGUGAAUAUACUGCGCUGCUUCCUUUUAUUGCAUCACACAUUGCUUUAAGUUUUUCAGUGUCCAGUUAUUUUUUACUGCUGUUUGAAUUCACUGUAUGUUUGACCCUGUAGACUGUUUAAUGGACUGCUUGUCUUCCUGUUUGUAACCGACGCCUGUUUUUGACUAAAGAUUUGGAUUUCUGACUUUAA